UUGGAGGGCAAGUCUGGUGCCAGCAGCCGCGGUAAUUCCAGCUCCAAUAGCGUAUAUUAAAGUUGUUGCAGUUGAAAAGCUCGUAGUUGAAUUUCGGGAUCAAUAUUUCGGUCAUGCCGUUGGUAUGCACUGUUAUCAUUGAUUUCUCACCUUCUAAAGAACCGUGAUGCCAUUAAUUUGGUGUUACGGGGAAUUAGGACUGCUACCUUGAAAAAAUUAGAGUGUUUAAAGCAGGCUCACGCUUGAAUACAUUAGCAUGGAAUAAUGAAAUAGGACAUCCGAUUCUAUUUUGUUGGUUUCUAGGAUCGAUGUAAUGAUUAAUAGGGAUAGUUGGGGGCAUUAGUAUUCAAUUGUCAGAGGUGAAAUUCUUGGAUUUAUUGAAGACUAACUACUGCGAAAGCAUUUGCCAAGGAUGUUUUCAUUAAUCAAGAACGAAAGUUAGGGGAUCGAAGACGAUCAGAUACCGUCGUAGUCUUAACCAUAAACUAUGCCGACUAGGGAUCGGAUGAUGUUAAUUUUUUAAUGACUCAUUCGGCGCCUUACGGGAAAC
rnacentral:rRNA from 1 species